rnacentral:rRNA from 1 species
AUUGAACGCUGGCGGCAGGCCUAACACAUGCAAGUCGAACGAGUGGCGGACGGGUGAGUAAUGUCUGGGAAACUGCCCGAUGGAGGGGGAUAACUACUGGCAACGGUAGCUAAUACCGCAUACCAUCAGAUGGGCCCAGAUGGGAUUAGCUAGUAGGUGGGGUAACGGCUCACCUAGGCGACGCUCCCUCGCUGGUCUGAGAGGAUGACCAGCCACACUGGAACUCAGACACGGUCCAGACUCCUACGUGAGGCAGCAGUGGGGAAUAUUGCACAAUGGGCGAAAGCCUGAUGCAGCCAUGCCGCGUGUAUGAAGAAGGCCUUCGGGUUGUAAAGUACUUUCAGCGGGGAGGCGUUACCCGCAGAAGAAGCACCGGCUAACUCCGUGCCAGCCGCCGCUGUAAUAC